ensembl:lncRNA
GUCCCACUUCAGGUCCUGAGAGAUGGUUGUGCCCAGGAACCUGAAUAACUCCACUGCAGCCACAGUGCUCUCUAUGAUGACUCAUCACCAUCCUGAAUGAGGCCGAUGACUGUGGUGUCGUCUGCAAACUUCGGGAGCUUGACAGAGGGAUCUUUAGAGGUGCAGUUGUUGGUGUGGAGGGAGAAGAGCAGUGGGGAGAGAACGCAGCCCUGAGGAGCUCCGGUGCUGAUGGUGCGGGUGUUGGAUGUGAUUUUUCCCAGCCUCACUGCUGCCUGUCAGGAAGCUGGUGAUCCACUGACGGAUGGAGAGAUAUAACGAAGAGAGCAAGCCAUCCUGAUUCAGAAGAAGAACUGGGAGAGGUGUCUGGGCCCUGUCCCAAAUGGCACAUUUGACAUGGGCAGGGUUUACACAUGUAAAGUCUACGAAAUGGAAAACUCCAGCAGCAGAUCACAGAAUUGUGCCAUGAAAAAUGCUGUUUGUAAGUGUUUUGGCAACUGGUCCCUUCACGGCUGUAGUGAUCAUCCUGAGCAAAUGACCUAACCUCCGGGUUCCCGGGGCGAUGACAGAGCAGUUUGUAGGGCAACCAGUGACAGCUGGAUGCGCCCAGCAAGGCAAACACACCUCAGAACUCGUACAUCUUUCUCUGGGCCACAGCGCUGACGGGAACAGCAUUGCAGUACAAGCUCAGCUGCUUCACCUGCCAUUUCCAGCACACAGCGAGACACGACAGGAGAGUUUCACAGUACUGCAGGAGAGAGAAUGUGAGGUUAGACAGAAUGUGAAUCAAAGCACUGUUUUAAGUUAAAAUUCACCCUUUCAAUUUUUUUAAUGCAUGUUAUUGGCCUUAUUUUGAACAAUUCAUCUGUGCAUAGCCUUAAUAUUUAAAUUUUUUUUGACCCUAGUUUUAAUUUGGACAUCUCAAAAUUCAAUCAACAACUAGUGGAUAGAAGCAAUUACCCAGCCAACCAAUUAUUAUGACUUUAGGUUUUGCAGCAUUAGUGAAGAUUUUUAUGCAUUAUUUAGCCUUAAAUUAGAAUUUUAUUUUAUUUUUUUAUUUUUUUAUGGGGGUCAGUCAUUCAGAAUGAUGCAGAGCAUGUGCUAAUAAAAAACGCAAUCAGUUAUUGGUGAAUAGAGCAAGAAUAUAGAGUGUAUCACUAACAAAAAAAGCUGC